rnacentral:rRNA from 1 species
GACGAACGCUGGCGGCGUGCUUAACACAUGCAAGUCGAACGGUGACGAUCAAGCUUGCUUGGUUUGAUCAGUGGCGAACGGGUGAGUAACACGUGAGUAACCUGCCCCUGACUCUGGGAUAACCCCGGGUAACCGGAGCUAAUACCGGAUACGAUACCAGCCCGCAUGGGCAUGGUUUGGAAAGGUUUUCGGUCUGGGGUGGACUCGCGGCUUUUCAGCUUGUUGGUGAGGUAGUGGCUAACCAAGGCGACGACGGGUAGCCGGCCUGAGAGGGCGACCGGCCAAACUGGGACUGAGACACGGCCCAGGCUCCUACGGGAGGCAGCAGUGGGGAAUAUUGCACAAUGGGCGAAAGCCUGAUGCAGCGACGCCGCGUGAGGGAUGACGGCCUUCGGGUUGUAAACCUCUUUCAGCAGGGAAGAAGCGCAAGUGACGGUACCUGCAGAAGAAGCACCGGCUAACUACGUGCCAGCCGCCGCCGUAACAC